UUCGGAGCUGCUGGAAUCAGGGAGGUCAAAGCUACUAGAACCGGAGGGUUUGGAGCUGCUGGAACUGGGGCAGGCACAAGCGGAGAGAGCUGUAUGCGAGGGCGUCAUGAAUAAGUUUGGAGCAAGGGCUGGAAUAAAGCAGAAGAAGUGUAGUUGAGUGGACCCAGGGGUGCAACAGGGUCAUGACUUGAGACUGCAACAGCUGGAAAGGUGCGCACCAGGGAGGUGCCGUGAGGUUGCGAGUCUGAGUCUAAGUCUGCGGCAGGAGUAAUUGAUAUAGGCACAGGUGUGGAGGAGGG
rnacentral:lncRNA from 1 species